rnacentral:rRNA from 1 species
UACGUAGGGGGCAAGCGUUGUCCGGAAUUAUUGGGCGUAAAGAGCGCGUAGGCGGUCCGGUAAGUCGGUUGUGAAAGUCGGGGGCUCAACCCUCGGAUGCCGAUCGAUACUGUCGGGCUAGAGUCCGGAAGAGGCGAGUGGAAUUCCUGGUGUAGCGGUGAAAUGCGCAGAUAUCAGGAGGAACACCGGUGGCGAAGGCAGGUCUCUGGGCCGAUACUGACGCUGAGGAGCGAAAGCGUGGGGAGCGAACAGG